GAAAACAAAACCCAUGUUUUGCGCAAAAAAUACUGUGAUAUUUGUGAAGUGGGUGGCUUGGAGAAGAAAAUAUUUUGUUCGCUUCGCAGUAUACAAGUGAAUUCAAUCGUGUGUUGUUCUUAUUGAGCAAUUAUUUAAAAUGACUGCAACUGGAAGACAGCUUUUCAAUGAAGCCGAAAAGAUUUGUCUGCAGGAGUUAGUGAUCAAAUACAAAUUAAAUUCGAUAGCCACUAUGGGGAGCGCAGUGGCUAAAAAAAAUCCCUGGCUUAGCCUAACAGAGGAGUACAAUGCCAUAGAAACGAAUUCAAAAAGGACUGAAGCUCAACUUAAAAAAUGUUGGGACCAGGCGUAAAAGUAUGUUGGCCUUAGAGAAAAGGGAAAGGAUGAGGACCGGUGGUGGUUCCUCUAAUGCUUACAUACCUAGUACCUGUACUGGAGGAUGCUCUCGCUGAACAGACAGAUGUGGAGUUGGCAGAUGUAAUCGACAGUGAUAACAUACCUUGUAGUGCAGUAAUCCAAAUUGAUGAUGUGAUGUUGUUAGACAUGUCAUCUCAAGUACCAGCAGUUGAACAUGUGUCAGAAAGAGAAAACAUUAUAAACACUCCUCCACAUUUGACAGAGUCACGGUUGACUGAUUAUAGUGCAGCUCCAUCACAAGAGUCAAGAAAUAUACGGACCAGAGUGAUUCAAGAAGAAUUUCACAUCCGUCAACAAACAUAUGGAAAAUCUCAGAAAAGGGAAGAGGAGCUGCAUAAGCUCAGAUUAGCUGAGAAGGAUGGUGAAGGCAGCAGAGGAGAUUUUUCUCAAAGCCAAAACUGAGAGAGAAGCUGCAGAGGAACUUCUCUGCAAUAGAGCCAAAAGAGAAGAGGCUGAAUUAAGUUUAAGAAUAUUUAAAAAUAAAAAUUUUGAAAAUUAAUUUAGUAUUAGGUUGUAUGUAUAUGUUUAUUUCAAUUCUAUGGUGUAAUAAAAAACUUUAUUGCUUA